rnacentral:rRNA from 1 species
AAUGGGUCAGCGACUUAUAUUCUGUAGCAAGGUUAACCGAAUAGGGGAGCCGAAGGGAAACCGAGUCUUAACUGGGCGUUAAGUUGCAGGGUAUAGACCCGAAACCCGGUGAUCUAGCCAUGGGCAGGUUGAAGGUUGGGUAACACUAACUGGAGGACCGAACCGACUAAUGUUGAAAAAUUAGCGGAUGACUUGUGGCUGGGGGUGAAAGGCCAAUCAAACCGGGAGAUAGCUGGUUCUCCCCGAAAGCUAUUUAGGUAGCGCCUCGUGAAUUCAUCUCCGGGGGUAGAGCACUGUUUCGGCAAGGGGGUCAUCCCGACUUACCAACCCGAUGCAAACUGCGAAUACCGGAGAAUGUUAUCACGGGAGACACACGGCGGGUGCUAACGUCCGUCGUGAAGAGGGAAACAACCCAGACCGCCAGCUAAGGUCCCAAAGUCAUGGUUAAGUGGGAAACGAUGUGGGAAGGCCCAGACAGCCAGGAUGUUGGCUUAGAAGCAGCCAUCAUUUAAAGAAAGCGUAAUAGCUCACUGGUCGAGUCGGCCUGCGCGGAAGAUGUAACGGGGCUAAACCAUGCACCGAAGCUGCGGCAGCGACACUAUGUGUUGUUGGGUAGGGGAGCGUUCUGUAAGCCUGUGAAGGUGUACUGUGAGGUAUGCUGGAGGUAUCAGAAGUGCGAAUGCUGACAUAAGUAACGAUAAAGCGGGUGAAAAGCCCGCUCGCCGGAAGACCAAGGGUUCCUGUCCAACGUUAAUCGGGGCAGGGUGAGUCGACCCCUAAGGCGAGGCCGAAAGGCGUAGUCGAUGGGAAACAGGUUAAUAUUCCUGUACUUGGUGUUACUGCGAAGGGGGGACGGAGAAGGCUAUGUUGGCCGGGCGACGGUUGUCCCGGUUUAAGCGUGUAGGCUGGUUUUCCAGGCAAAUCCGGAAAAUCAAGGCUGAGGCGUGAUGACGAGGCACUACGGUGCUGAAGCAACAAAUGCCCUGCUUCCAGGAAAAGCCUCUAAGCAUCAGGUAACAUCAAAUCGUACCCCAAACCGACACAGGUGGUCAGGUAGAGAAUACCAAGGCGCUUGAGAGAACUCGGGUGAAGGAACUAGGCAAAAUGGUGCCGUAACUUCGGGAGAAGGCACGCUGAUAUGUAGGUGAAGUCCCUCGCGGAUGGAGUUGAAAUCAGUCGAAGAUACCAGCUGGCUGCAACUGUUUAUUAAAAACACAGCACUGUGCAAACACGAAAGUGGACGUAUACGGUGUGACGCCUGCCCGGUGCCGGAAGGUUAAUUGAUGGGGUCAGCGCAAGCGAAGCUCUUGAUCGAAGCCCCGGUAAACGGCGGCCGUAACUAUAACGGUCCUAAGGUAGCGAAAUUCCUUGUCGGGUAAGUUCCGACCUGCACGAAUGGCGUAAUGAUGGCCAGGCUGUCUCCACCCGAGACUCAGUGAAAUUGAACUCGCUGUGAAGAUGCAGUGUACCCGCGGCAAGACGGAAAGACCCCGUGAACCUUUACUAUAGCUUGACACUGAACAUUGAGCCUUGAUGUGUAGGAUAGGUGGGAGGCUUUGAAGUGUGGACGCCAGUCUGCAUGGAGCCGACCUUGAAAUACCACCCUUUAAUGUUUGAUGUUCUAACGUUGGCCCCUGAUC